AGUGAACGCUGGCGGUAGGCCUAACACGUGCAAGUCGAACGGCAGCACAGUAAGAGCUUGCUCUUACGGGUGGCGAGUGGCGGACGGGUGAGGAAUACAUCGGAAUCUACUUUUUCGUGGGGGAUAACGUAGGGAAACUUACGCUAAUACCGCAUACGACCUACGGGUGAAAGCAGGGGAUCUUCGGACCUUGCGCGACUGAAUGAGCCGAUGUCGGAUUAGCUAGUUGGCGGGGUAAAGGCCCACCAAGGCGACGAUCCGUAGCUGGUCUGAGAGGAUGAUCAGCCACACUGGAACUGCGACACGGUACAGAAUCCUACGGGGGGCAGCAGUGGGGAAUAUUGGACAAUGGGCGCAAGACUGAUCCAGCCAUACCGCGUGGGUGGAGAAGGCCUUCGGGUUGUAAAGCCCUUUUGUUGGGAAAGAAAAGCAGCAGGUUAAUACCCCGCUGUUCUGACGGUACCCAAAGAAUAAGCACCGGCUAACUUCGUG
rnacentral:rRNA from 1 species